AUAAUGACUCUCGGCAACGGAUAUCUCGGCUCUCGCAUCGAUGAAGAACGUAGCGAAAUGCGAUACUUGGUGUGAAUUGCAGAAUCCCGUGAACCAUCGAGUCUUUGAACGCAAGUUGCGCCCCAAGCCAUUAGGCCGAGGGCACGCCUGCCUGGGUGUCACGC
rnacentral:rRNA from 6 species